rnacentral:rRNA from 1 species
UGAGUAACACGUAUCCAACCUGCCGUCUACUCUUGGACAGCCUUCUGAAAGGAAGAUUAAUACAAGAUGGCAUCAUGAGUUCACAUGUUCACAUGAUUAAAGGUAUUCCGGUAGACGAUGGGGAUGCGUUCCAUUAGAUAGUAGGCGGGGUAACGGCCCACCUAGUCUUCGAUGGAUAGGGGUUCUGAGAGGAAGGCCCCCACAUUGGAACUGCGACACGGUCCAA